rnacentral:rRNA from 1 species
CGAACGUUAGAUUUCUUGUUUGCCGUCCCUGUAACUCCUAUCGUUGCCUCGGCGGAUCAGCCCGCGCCCCGUAAAACGGGACGGCCCGCCCGAGGACCCCUAAACUCUGUUUUUAGUGGAACUUCUGAGUAAAACAAACAAAUAAAUCAAAACUUUCAACAACGGAUCUCUUGGUUCUGGCAUCGAUGAAGAACGCAGCAAAAUGCGAUAAGUAAUGUGAAUUGCAGAAUUCAGUGAAUCAUCGAAUCUUUGAACGCACAUUGCGCCCGCCAGUAUUCUGGCGGGCAUGCCUGUUCGAGCGUCAUUUCAACCCUCAAGCUCAGCUUGGUGUUGGGACUCGCGGUAACCCGCGUUCCCCAAAUCGAUUGGCGGUCACGUCGAGCUUCCAUAGCGUAGUAAUCAUACACCUCGUUACUGGUAAUCGUCGCGGCCACGCCGUAAAACCCCAACUUCUGAAUGUUGACCUCGGAUCAGGUAGGAAUACCCGCUGAACUUAAGCAUAUCAAUAAGCGGAGGAAUUUAAAAAACGAAUUUUCUCGACCAAACUCUGGCCAACUUUCCUCAUCCAUUGCACAAGAAAUAAUCCAGCCUUCACACGGGAGGCCGCGGGGGACCUGUACUCUGUCUGUUAUCGGUACUUCUUUGUUGACAAAAAAAAUAAAUCAAAAAUUUCACAACGAUCUUUGGGUUCUUGCAUCUAUGAAGUAG